ACUCCUACGGGAGGCAGCAGUGGGGAAUAUUGCACAAUGGGCGCAAGCCUGAUGCAGCCAUGCCGCGUGUAUGAAAGAAGGCCUUCGGGUUGUAAAGUACUUUCAGCAGUGAGGAAGGCGGAGUCGUUAAUAGCGGCCUCGUUUGUACGUUAGCUGCAGAAGAAGCACCGGCUAACUCCGUGCCAGCAGCCGCGGUAAUACGGAGGGUGCGAGCGUUAAUCGGAAUUACUGGGCGUAAAGCGCAUGCAGGUGGUUUGUUAAGUCAGAUGUGAAAGCCCGGGGCUCAACCUCGGAAUUGCAUUUGAAACUGGCAGACUAGAGUACUGUAGAGGGGGGUAGAAUUUCAGGUGUAGCGGUGAAAUGCGUAGAGAUCUGAAGGAAUACCGGUGGCGAAGGCGGCCCCCCUGGACAGAUACUGACACUCAGAUGCGAAAAG
rnacentral:rRNA from 1 species